UACGAGGUUGAUAGGUCGGAGGUGGAAGUGCAGUAAUGUAUGCAGCUGACCGAUACUAAUAGGUCGAGGGCUUAUCCAU
rnacentral:rRNA from 1 species